rnacentral:rRNA from 1 species
UACGUAGGGGGCUAGCGUUGUCCAGAAUCAUUGGGCGUAAAGCGCGUGUAGGCGGUCCGGUAAGUCCGCUGUGAAAGUCGGGGGCUCAACCCUCUAAUGCCGGUGGAUACUGUCGGGCUAGAGUGCGGAAGAGGCGAGUGGAAUUCCUGGUGUAGCGGUGAAAUGCGCAGAUAUCAGGAGGAACACCUAUUGCGAAGGCAGCUCGCUGGGACGUAACUGACGCUGAGACGCGAAAGCGUGGGGAGCAAACAGG